AAUUUGUAAGCGUUUUUGCUCCACGCACGAAUGCUCUUGCCAAAACGAUAAAAUAUAAAAGGAAUGGGAACCAUCGCUACAGAAAUAAAACCAAGCACACUAGUAGCCCAGUGAUCUCCUAAAUUAAGGUACAUAGGCCUGGCCACCAUACUUAUGCCUCCACUGGCAGAAUAGCGAACUAGAGUAGCUGCAGCUAAAGCGCUCGGUGCCAUAUGUUGAUACGAAUCAAUAAUGUAAUUGUAUGAAACGAAAAAAACUAUUAAUAAGGAAAACCCAAAGAAAGCGCUUGCUAUUAUUGGUACAAUCCAGUGAAUGUGAUGUGGAUAACAUGUCCAUGCAAACCAAAACAUUGAUAUAGGCAACAAGAAGCAACCAAUAAACAGCGGAUACAAACGAUCCUCUGGACAUAUAACUCCGUUUCUCUUUUUGUUGACCUUUAAAUAAUGCCAAUAAAUAAAUGGAGUGCACAGACCUGCACAUACGAUUCCAACGCCAACACCAAUAAACGACAGCCCUUGCUCACCUUUGUUGAAGCCGUAUUUUGCAAAUACUAUAGGAUAUCCUUCAAAAUUAAUGUAGUUAAUGAUGUACACCACAGUCAAAUACAAAGUAAAGCACACAACAAUGGGCUCUGUAAAAAUAAGAGAAACAGCUUGAGUAGCUGCCUGAAUCAUUGCAUUUUUCGGAUCUCGUUCCCGCUCAUGGAUGGUAUAGUAAGC